CCUCCGCCAGCCCGGCUCUGUCCGGCUUCACGCCCGUCACUCAGGCACUCCGGAAGCAAGGACGCAUAGGCCUCACCCUCGGCCGCGAGCUCCGGGUGUCAAGCGCCGAGCCUCCCAGCCCUGGACGGAGCCCGUCUGCCGCACAAGGUUACCUGUCUCCCGUUCAGCUCCACCCGAGUGAAGCGCCGACACCACUCCGGGCUCCAAACUCUCAGCCCCGCCCCGGCGUGUGGCGUCAACGCGUAGCCCGGCCCCAGAGGAGCGGCCUGCAAGACAGGCUGUGGGCGUGACGUGACGUCACAGAAUUGGGUUUCAGUCGCUCGCUCGGGCUUCGCGCCAAUGCAGAACUUUGCAUCUGGCCAAAGCCAGCCUGUUGCUCACUGUCUUUCGGCUGUCAUUAGCAGUUACACGGGAGACGCUUCCGAAGCUUGUUAAGAACCUGGUACAUUCAGGGCGUGGGAUGCCGUCUGAUAAUUGAAGCGUUUGGCGGGCCGAAGCAGGAGCGCUGCGACUUUGAGGCCCACGGGCUUUGUAUCCAAAACAAGCUGCCCUAAAUAAUAGUUGGGUUGGUAAAAUGUAUCCCUGCACAAAAUAAUUUGAAUAACAUGAGUGACUAUUUUGAACACUUGUUUUGCAGCAGUCCUUAUGAAGAUUAGUUAGCGAGGUCUAAUGUGACUUGGUUGUCAUGCGACUUGGGUGUUCCUGCUAGUAUUCUGACAGGAAGCUGUGCUGGGGUCCCCCUGGAUCUUCCUGGCUCCAGAGCCUGCUCUAAACAGACAAAAUCCACUAGUUAACCUGUUACACUUCACUAAUAUGAAAUGUUCCCCGUGUCAAAAUGUUAAGCCAGAGCCUGGCUGUGUGAGUGCACACCUUAAAGCAGAGCACUCAGAAGCAGAGGCAGGCUCAUCUCUGAGUUUGAGGUCAGCCUGGUCUACAGAGAGAGUUUCAGGGCCACAUAGAGAAACCCUGUCUUGGG
rnacentral:lncRNA from 1 species